rnacentral:tRNA from 1 species
AUGCGCGUAGCCAAGUGGCCUGGCGUUCGGCUGCAACCCGAAAUAGGCUGGUUCGAUUCCAGCCGCGCAUUCCA